AUUGAACGCUGGCGGCAGGCCUAACACAUGCAAGUCGAGCGGAUGAAGGGAGCUUGCUCCUGGAUUCAGCGGCGGACGGUUGAGUAAUGCCUAGGAAUCUGCCUGGUAGUGGGGGAUAACGUCCGGAAACGGGCGCUAAUACCGCAUACGUCCUGAGGGAGACAGUGGGGGAUCUUCGGACCUCACGCUAUCAGAUGAGCCUAGGUCGGAUUAGCUAGUUGGUGGGGUAAAGGCCUACCAAGGCGACGAUCCGUAACUGGUCUGAGAGGAUGAUCAGUCACACUGGAACUGAGACACGGUCCAGACUCCUACGGGAGGCAGCAGUGGGGAAUAUUGGACAAUGGGCGAAAGCCUGAUCCAGCCAUGCCGCGUGUGUGAAGAAGGUCUUCGGAUUGUAAAGCACUUUAAGUUGGGAGGAAGGGCAGUAAGUUAAUACCUUGCUGUUUUGACGUUACCAACAGAAUAAGCACCGGCUAACUUCGUG
rnacentral:rRNA from 1 species